rnacentral:rRNA from 1 species
ACGUGCAGCAGUCUAAGCAUGCGAGUCGAGCGGGCCCUUCAGGGUCAACGGCGGACGGGUGAGUAACGCGUGGGAACGUGCCUUCUGGUUGGGAAUACCCCUGGGAAACUAGGGGUAAUACCGGAUACGCCCUUUUGGGGAAAGGUUUACUGCCGGAAGAUCGGCCCGCGUCUGAUUAGCUAGUUGGGGGGGUAACGGCCUACCAAGGGGACGAUCAGUAGCUGGUCUGAGAGGAUGAUCAGCCACACUGGGACUGAAACACGGGCCAGACUCCUACGGGAGGGAGCAGUGGGGAAUAUUGGACAAUGGGCGCAAGCCUGAUCCAGCCAUGCCGCGUGAGUGAUGAAGGCCUUAGGGUUGUAAAGCUCUUUUAUCCGGGACGAUAAUGACGGUACCGGAAGAAUAAGCCCCGGCUAACUUCCUGCCAGCAGCCGCGGUAAUACCAAGGGGGCUAGCGUUGCUCGGAAUCACUGGGCGUAAAGGGCGCGUAAGCGGCGUUUUAAGUCGGGGGUGAAAGCCUGUGGCUCAACCACAGAAUGGCCUUCGAUACUGGGACGCUUGAGUAUGGUAGAGGUUGGUGGAACUGCCAGUGUAGAGGUGAAAUUCGUAGAUAUUCGCAAGAACACCGGUGGCGAAGGCGGCCAACUGGACCAUUACUGACGCUGAAGCGCGAAAGCGUGGGGAGCAAACAGGAUUAGAUACCCUGGUAGUCCACGCCGUAAACGAUGAAUGCCAGCUGUUGGGGUGCUUGCACCGCAGUAGCGCAGCUAACGCUUUGAGCAUUCCGCCUGGGGAGUACCGGUCGCAAGAUUAAAACUCAAAGGAAUUGACCGGGGCCCGCACAAGCGUGGAGCAUGUGGUUUAAUUCGAAGCAACGCGCAGAACUUACCAUCCUUUGAACAUGGCGUGUACCAGAGAGAAUCUGGGUCCCUUCGGGGCGCGCACACAGUGCUGCAUGCUGUCGUCAGCUUCGUGUCGUGAGAUGUGGGUAGGUUCCGCACGAGCGCUACUACGGUCUUAGUGCAUCAUUCAGUGUCACUCUAAGGAACUGCCGUGAUAAGCCGCAAGUAGUUGAUGACGUCAGUCUCA